GCUUACUGUGUUUUAGUCAGUAGAGCAUUGUGCUAGUACCGCAAAGUUUGUGGGUUCAAACCCCAGGGGAAGCA